rnacentral:rRNA from 2 species
GCGGCAUGCUUUACACAUGCAAGUCGAACGGUAACAGGGAGCUUGCUCCGCUGACGAGUGGCGAACGGGUGAGUAAUGCGUCGGAACGUGCCGAGUAGUGGGGGAUAACGCAGCGAAAGUUGUGCUAAUACCGCAUACGUACUGAGGUAGAAAGUGGGGGACCUUCGGGCCUCACGCUAUUCGAGCGGCCGACGUCUGAUUAGCUAGUAGGUGAGGUAAAGGCUCACCUAGGCGACGAUCAGUAGCGGGUCUGAGAGGAUGAUCCGCCACACUGGGACUGAGACACGGCCCAGACUCCUACGGGAGGCAGCAGUGGGGAAUUUUGGACAAUGGGCGAAAGCCUGAUCCAGCCAUGCC